rnacentral:rRNA from 1 species
GACGAACGCUGGCGGCGUGCUUAACACAUGCAAGUCGAACGAAGAGCGAUGGAAGCUUGCUUCUAUCACUCUUAGUGGCGAACGGGUGAGUAACGCGUAAUCAACCUGCCCUUCAGAGGGGGACAACAGUUGGAAACGACUGCUAAUACCGCAUACGAUCUAACCUCGGCAUCGAGGAUAGAUGAAAGGUGGCCUCUACAUGUAAGCUAUCACUGAAGGAGGGGAUUGCGUCUGAUUAGCUAGUUGGAGGGGUAACGGCCCACCAAGGCGAUGAUCAGUAGCCGGUCUGAGAGGAUGAACGGCCACAUUGGGACUGAGACACGGCCCAGACUCCUACGGGAAGCAGCAGUGGGGGAACUUCCGCAAUGGACGAAAGGCUGACGGAGCAACGCCGCGUGAGUGAUGACGGCCUUCGGGUUGGAAAGCUCUGUUAAUCGGGACGAAAGGCCUUCUUGCGAAUAGUUAGAAGGAUUGACGGUACCGGAAUAGAAAGCCACGGCUAACUACGUG